rnacentral:antisense_RNA from 1 species
GAGGCGGAGACAGAAGGCUCCGUUCCACUGGGCACGCCAGCGGUAGAGACGGGGUUUCACCAUGUUGGCCCGGCUGGUCUCAAACUCCUGAGCUCAGGCGAUCUGCCCGCCUCGGCCUCCCAAAGUGCUGGGAUUACGGGCGUGAGCCACUGCACCCGGUUCAAGCGAUUCUCCUGACUCAGCCCCCUGAGUAGCUGGGAUUACAGGCACGCGCCACCACUCCCAGAUCUUCGCUUCAGGUCAGCUCCAAGGAGGCUAUCCUUGCCCAUCUUCCUAAAAUAGAGCUCUCAAAACCUGGCUGUUUUCCUUCAGAGCACUGGCCUCCAAUUGCACCGGUAGAUGGCAAAUAACAUGCUUUCUUUCUGUUCCCGGGCUGCGUUCGGACCCCUGUCGGAGAGUAAAUCCCAACUAAGGUACCUGCCGUCGGCAGAUUUGAGCUUUCUUCUUGGACACGUAUUACCCACAGUCCUCCAGACUCUGGUAGAUUGCAUAUAACCUGCUUUCUUUCUGUUCCCGGGCGGCAUCAGACCCGUCGGAGAGUAAAUCCCAAGUAAGGUACCUGCCGUCGGCAGAUUGGAGCUUUCUUCUUGGACACCUAAUACCCACAGUCCUCCAG